rnacentral:rRNA from 1 species
ACGGAAGGCAGCAGUGAGGAAUAUUGGUCAAUGGGCGGAAGCCUGAACCAGCCAAGUCGCGUGAAGGAUGAAGGUAUUAUGUAUUGUAAACUUCUUUAGACGUAGAGAAAUAAGCCCCUCGUGAGGGGUGAUGCUAGUAUACGUAGAAUAAGGAUCGGCUAACUCCGUGCCAGCAGCCGCGGUAAUACGGAGGAUCCGAGCGUUAUCCGGAUUUAUUGGGUUUAAAGGGUGCGCAGGCGGCCCUGUAAGUCAGCGGUAAAAUCGUGGAGCUCAACUCCAUCCCGCCGUUGAUACUGCAGGGCUUGAUUGCGGUCGAGGUUGGCGGAAUUCGCCGUGUAGCGGUGAAAUGCAUAGAUAUGGCGAAGAACUCCGAUUGCGUAGGCAGCUGACCAGGCCGUAAAUGACGCUCAUGCACGAAAGUGCGGGGAUCGAACAGGAUUAGAUACCCUGGUA